GACGAACGCUGGCGGCGUGCUUAACACAUGCAAGUCGAACGGAAAGGCCCUGCUUGCAGGGUACUCGAGUGGCGAACGGGUGAGUAACACGUGGGUGAUCUGCCCUGCACUUCGGGAUAAGCUUGGGAAACUGGGUCUAAUACCGGAUAGGAACCAUCUUUAGUGUGGUGGUUGGAAAGUUUUUUCGGUGUAGGAUGAGCUCGCGGCCUAUCAGCUUGUUGGUGGGGUAAUGGCCUACCAAGGCGGCGACGGGUAGCCGGCCUGCGAGGGUGUACGGCCACAUUGGGACUGAGAUACGGCCCAGACUCCUACGGGAGGCAGCAGUGGGGAAUAUUGCACAAUGGGCGCAAGCCUGAUGCAGCGACGCCGCGUGGGGGAUGAAGGCCUUCGGGUUGUAAACUCCUAUCGCUAGGGACGAAGCUUUGUUGUGACGGUACCUAGAUAAGAAGCACCGGCUAACUACGUG
rnacentral:rRNA from 1 species